GGUCGGUUAGCUCAGUUGGUUAGAGCGUCGUACUAAUACAAUUGAUAUUGAUUGUAUCAAGUAAUGCGAAGGCCAUGAGUUCGACCCUCAUACUGACCA
rfam:Fungal sp. No.14919 DNA, contig: Contig0025.